UAUUGCGCAAUGGAGGAAACUCUGACACAGUGACGCCGCGUAUAGGAAGAAGGUCUUCGGAUUGUAAACUAUUGUCGUUAGGGAAGAAAAAGGACAGUACCUAAGGAGGAAGCUCCGGCUAACUACGUGCCAGCAGCCGCGGUAAUACGUAGGGAGCAAGCGUUAUCCGGAUUUAUUGGGUGUAAAGGGUGCGUAGACGGGAAUUUAAGUUAGUUGUGAAAUCCCUCGGCUCAACUGAGGAACUGCAACUAAAACUGGAUUUCUUGAGUGCUGGAGAGGAAAGCGGAAUUCCUAGUGUAGCGGUGAAAUGCGUAGAUAUUAGGAGGAACACCAGUGGCGAAGGCGGCUUUCUGGACAGUAACUGACGUCGAGGCACGAAAGUGUGGGGAGCAAACAGG
rnacentral:rRNA from 1 species